GUCGGUUGCGAUGCUGAGUGUUAACUGUUCCGUGACGUUCCGAGUUGCUUAGCGAUAGUGACGCGAUGGGAAAGGAGGAUGGAAUCCAGGAAUUGUAGUAUAUUCUCGCCAGCAGCUCUGAAGCCCACUUUCUGAGAACGUUAUCAGGCAGGAGCCGGCGUAUUUUGUUCAUUUCGAGUGGUCUGAGGAAGGGCAAAGAAGGGUCUGCAUUGUAACUGGCUCUGUUUCAGAUUUAAGUAUCCCUCGCCCCUUUUUUCUUAGACGACAACUGUUAUGAACGUAAAUUGUUGCUUGAGUUGAUGAAACAUGGCUUUGGUCUUCUCCUCCAUGGAAAAACCGUAAAAUGAACAUUUGCCCCACCCCCACUCCAAUGUUUUACUUUUCUAAUGCUCUGAAGUUUAGAAUUUAGAGUCUAAACUCUACCAAACACUAUGGUGUGUUUGUCAGAGACAUAAUCAGUCUCUACUUGUCAAGCUUGCAAUGGUGUUUUGGGGUAUGAUUGAGCUGGCUAAAAUUUGGAUUUUGUAUUUAAUAGAAACACAUUGCCAACUCAUUUUCCACACCCAGACUCUUAUUUUUAUGAUCUCUAGGCAGACAUCAUUCUUUUGUUUUCUUUUUCCAUCUGUUUAGAAUGGGUAUCUAGGUUCUGUGUUAUCGUUUUUGGGAAAGUUAUGUAUAAAUUCACUUCUAUAUUAGUAUGAUAGGGUAAUGAAAAACUACAGACUUACAAAAUUAUAUUGAACCACUAUUGAAAACCAUAUCCAUAGAUUUGUCUAAUCCUAAUAAGUGGGAUCUGUAAAUAUAAUGCUUAGUCUACUGUUAGAGAAGUAAAUAUGUUAGAAGACUAUAAAACUGUUGUAUCCAAAUGAGACAGUGACAAAUGGUAUGAUUUUUAGUAAUAAGGCUGUUCUUUAUAAGCAUGUGUCAUUUGUAGUAGCUCUGCUAGGCACCUGGGAAAUUGCUACAUUUACAGGCUUCCAUGAUCUCCUCUGGCCUGGCUGCCACCCAAGACAUACAGACCAAAUGAAGGCAUGUCUUUGCUUUGUGACUAAAGUUGUUAUUUCUUUCUCCUAUUCACUCCAGACUUUCUUCAGGAAGGCAAAUUUGUCCCUGCUUUCUCUGGAAUCCUGUUUGGCUUUUACCCUUGAGUACCCACUAAUGAUGCUGGGACUGACUUCUGCCACUAACUCCUUCAUGUCACACCUCCAGUUCUCCAAACAGGAAAAUAAAAUGCCCCCAAGGAGCAAUGCAGCCCUGUGGUGUGGUGUUUAUGGUCAGUUUGACCAGAUCUGUAAUCCAAG
rnacentral:lncRNA from 1 species